rnacentral:rRNA from 1 species
CUAUGGAGAAGAAAAAAACCAAGACUCAAUAUGGGGGAUCACAUAGUAAUUUGUGGAAAUUGAUGUGAGUUGUGAAAUUUUGUGAGCAUUGUGUUUUUGAAUGAAAAUUUCAGCACGGACACUCCUGUAUUUGUGCUACAUUUGUUUCAGUAUAUAAACCGUAUCAUGCGUAUUUACCAUUGCC